AACAGGAUUAGAUACCCUGGUAGUCCACGCCGUAAACGAUGAGUGCUAGGUGUCAGGGGGCUUCCACCCCUUGGUGCUGCAGUUAACGCAUUAAGCACUCCGCCUGGGGAGUACGGCCGCAAGGCUGAAACUCAAAAGAAUUGACGGGGGCCCGCACAAGCGGUGGAGCAUGUGGUUUAAUUCGAAGCUACGCGAAGAACCUUACCAGGUCUUGACAUCCUCUGACAACCCUAGAGAUAGGGCUUUCCCUUCGGGGACAGAGUGACAGGUGGUGCAUGGUUGUCGUCAGCUCGUGUCGUGAGAUGUUGGGUUAAGUCCCGUAACGAGCGGAACCCUUGACCUUAGUUGCCAGCAUUAAGUUGGGCACUCUAAGGUGACUGCCGGUGACAAAUCGGAGGAAGGUGGGGACGACGUCAAAUCAUCAUGCCCCUUAUGACCUGGGCUACACACGUGCUACAAUGGAUGGAACAGAGGGCAGCUAAACCGUGAGGUCAAGCGAAUCCCAUAAAACCAUUCUCAGUUCGGAUUGUAGGCUGCAAUUCGCCUACAUGAAGCAGGAAUCGCUAGUAAUUGCGGAUCAGAACGCCGCGGUGAAUACGUUCCCGGGCCUUGUACACACCGCCCGUCACACCACGAGAGUUGACAACACCCGAAGUCGGUGAGGUAACCCCUAGGGGAACCAGCCGCCGAAGGUGGGGCCAAUGAUUGGGGGUGAAGUCGUAACAAGGUAACC
rnacentral:rRNA from 1 species